AAAAAAAAGAAUUUUGUCUUCCAUAUCUUGCACAUCAAUGACUUUGACUUGAUGCAUCUUUUUUCUAGACUUCCAUACCUGAGUUUGUAAUAGACUGCAUUUUCAAUUCAUGCUGAGUGCCCAUAUAACUCUAUAACUAUCCCUGAGUUCCACACCUGAGUUCCACUCCUGAGUUCCACUUUCUCUCUCCGUAACUCUCCCUCUCUAUAGCUCAAAAUCCCCAAUACAUACCAAUCACAUCAUGACAUUCUUUGGGAAAUUCCUUCAUCAUUAUUGAUGCAAACUCCAUAUGAUUUUGCCUUGAAACUCACAAUCAAUUUAGUAUAUUUUCAAGAUUGCUCUAAAAUAGGUUCAAACACUAAAGACUCACUUAACCCAACCCAACACUAACUUGUGGUUGAAAACCGAGCAAAAUCAAGAUGUAUUCUAAUUAUUAAAAUUAAGGAAUUACAACUCAAUACCAACAUUGUGGUAGAAAACUAUAAAUAUCAAAUUGAAACUUAACAAGUGGAUUAGUCUUGGCAAGAGUGUAAAUGUAGUUCCUAUAAGAAACAAGAAGAGAAUCCUCUCUCCUAAAGCCAGAAUGGGUAAAUAAUAAUAAUCUCUGAAAU
rnacentral:misc_RNA from 1 species